rnacentral:rRNA from 1 species
UACGUAGGGUGCGAGCGUUAAUCGGAAUUACUGGGCGUAAAGGGUGCGCAGGCGGUCUCGUAAGCUGGGUGUGAAAGCCCCGGGCUUAACCUGGGAAUGGCAUUCAGGACUGCGAGGCUUUGAGUGCGGCAGAGGGAGGUGGAAUUCCACGUGUAGCAGUGAAAUGCGUAGAGAUGUGGAGGAACACCGAUGGCGAAGGCAGCCUCCUGGGCCAGCACUGACGCUCAUGUGCGAAAGCGUGGGGAGCAAACAGG